GAUGCAGGUGAUCGCCGUUGAAGACGGUUUCCUCUUCGGAGGCACCUGCACAGGUGCUGCAUGGCUGUCGUCAGCUCGUGUCGUGAGAUGUUCGGUUAAGUCCGCUAACGAGCGCAACCCUCGCUGUGUGUUAUAUGUGUCACACGGGACUGCCGGUCUUAAGCCGGAGGAAGGUGGGGAUGAUGUCAAGUCAGCAUGGCCUUUAUAUCCUGGGCUACACACACGCUACAAUGGCCAACACAAUAGGUUGCUAAGCCGCGAGGUGGCGCCAAUCCAUAAAGUUGGUCUCAGUUCAGAUUGUAGGCUGCAACCCGCCUGCAUGAAGAUGGAGUUGCUAGUAACCGCAGGUCAGCUAUACUGCGGUGAACACGUUCCCGGGGCUU
rnacentral:rRNA from 1 species